UACGUAGGUGGCAAGCGUUGUCCGGAGUUAUUGGGCGUAAAGGGCGCGCAGGCGGCUCAUUUUGUCAGGCGUGAAAGCCCCGGGCUUAACCUGGGAACUGCGUUUGAUACGGGUGGGCUAGAGUUCGGGAGAGGAGAGUGGAAUUCCCAGUGUAGAGGUGAAAUUCGUAGAUAUUGGGAAGAACACCGGUGGCGAAGGCGGCUCUCUGGACCGAUACUGACGCUGAGGCGCGAAAGCGUGGGGAGCAAACAGG
rnacentral:rRNA from 1 species